UACGAAGGGUGCAAGCGUUACUCGGAAUUACUGGGCGUAAAGCGUGCGUAGGUGGUUCGUUAAGUCUGAUGUGAAAAGCCCUGGGCUCAACCUGGGAAUGGCAUUGGAAACUGGCGACCUAGAGUGCGGUAGAGGGUAGUGGAAUUCCCGGUGUAGCAGUGAAAUGCCGUAGAGAUCGGGAGGAACAUCUGUGGCGAAGGCGACUGCCUGGACGAUACCUGACACUGAGGCACGAAAGCUAGGGGAGCAAACGG
rnacentral:rRNA from 1 species